rnacentral:lncRNA from 1 species
GGUUUUUGUCAUGGCCCAUAUCACUGUGGGAGGGGAACUGUAGCCUUGUAGACAGUAAUAAGUGGCAACAUCUUCAGGCUCCAGGCCGCUGAUGGUGAGAGUGAAAUCUUUGUCAUAUCCACUGCCACUGAACCUCGAUGAGACUCCAUAUCCCAUACUAGUUGCCCAAUGAAUUAGGAGCUUAGGAGCUUGCCCUGGUUUCUGCUGGUACCACUGUAAGUAAUUUUUAAUGCCCUGACUUGCCCGGCAAGUGAUGGUGACUCUGUCUCCUACAGAUUUAGAUAGGGAGGAUGGAGAUUGAGUCAUCUGGAUGUCACAUCUGGCAUCUGAUAUUGGAAACAAGAAAAUAAAACAAAGAUGCACACAAUUAGACAUGCCUUAUGAGGACUUCUGGGCAGAGGCAGGUAGCACUGACCACAGUGCAUUGAGUACAUUCUCAGUGCUGUCCCUCCUUACCUGGGAGGCAGAGCAGCAGGAGCCCCAGGAGCUGAGCAGAGGCCCUCAUGGCCAUGCUGUGUCCUGACAGGGACUGACUCCUGCACAGGGUGUGAGCAGCCUCUUAAGAAGUCCUCAGGGCAGUGGGCUGUGCUGUGGGCACAUGCAAAUCAGCAGGGCUGGGCAGGCUGGGCACAGCUUCAGGGUUGGCUCAUCUGUCACUCAGUGCAGACCCCAUGUCUUCAGGUGUCCCAGGUCAGAUUGGACAGUAUAAAUUUCCCUGCAGAAAAUGUUUCCCUCAGGGUCCACAGGAAAGACUCAUUCCAUUGUCCUCUGAGUGGUCACCCAUUGCUGUCUUUAUGGUUCUGAAAAUGGUUUAUAGUAAUUCUUUUUCUCUCCUUCUUUUUUCUUUCCCUCCCUUCCUAACUCCCCCCCUUCUUUAUCCUUCCUUCCUUCCUUCCUUCCUUCCUUCCUUCCUUCCUUCCUUCCUUUCCUUCCUUCCUUCCUUCCUUCCUUCUUUCUUUCUUUCUUUCUUUCUUUCUUUCUUUCUUUCUUUCUUUCUUUCUUUCUCCUUUCUUUUUGGAGUUUCACAGAUUGAACCCAGGGGCACUUAGCCACUGAGCAACAUUCUGAGCCAUAUAUAUAUUAUUUUGAGACAGGGUCUUGCUAAGUUAUUUGGGGCCUUGCUAAAGUGCUGAAGGUGGCUUUGAACUUGAGAUUCUCCUUCCUCAACUUCCCUGGCUGGUGGGAAUACAAGCAUGCACAACUGCACCCAGCUCUAAUAUUUCCUAAGGACAAUUCUAUUACAUUCCCUUGAAAAGUAAGGAAUUUAGAAUAAGAGGGAGAACAUUUCAGGUAUAGAUUAUAAACAGAACUAUGAAGUCAGAGAGUUAAAUUUGUAAGUCUUUGAAGAUUUGGGGUUUCAUUUGAGAGUGGCUUACCCUGACUGAGAGGUCAGGGGAGAAGUCCUAUCAUGACUCCAGCCCUUCCUGCCUCAGUCUUUCCAACACUAACAUGGGAUGCUCCCUCUCUCUCCAGAGCAGCAGGGCUGAAGCCCAGACAAGCUCUUUCCCCCAUGUGUCCUUUCUGGAGAAGUAAGAGUGAGUUGGGAAGGAAGUUUUAGUUUCCUGCAUCACUCUAGGGACAGUUUAACAAAUAAGCCAAGGAGGUCAAAAAUGGGGAUUUGCGAAGGACAGUGAAAGCAGAAAGGACCCAGGUUCACUCUAUCUGUGUUUUUCAUUCUCAGCACAUUAGCUGUCAAAUCUGGGCUUGAUGCCUCCUGGGCCUACGAAGGCUGAGUGGCUCCCACUGUCACAUCCUCCUUGUCUGGGCCAUGGAGAAGAGCGGCCAAGGGCUUCAGCUCCACUUUGAUCAAGAGGAAUCAUAAUCCUCUGAGAAACCACACCCACCACUGUCUGCUCUCAUAGGCACCUGAGCUGAUCCCAUGUGCCCCAAUCCCUGCUCCUGCCUGGGCUAGGAGAGGCUCACCUGUCCUCACCAUGCACAGCAGCACAGAGCUGGUGCUCAGUAAACUGGAGGAGGGGGCUGGCCACUGUGCAUGGUGGAGAGCUUUGCUCUGUAAGCCUCACUAUGGUUCUAAGUGGGAUUCAGUAGGAUAGUGAGAUCCUAAGGCAAUCUAUUUUUUCUGAAGUUUUGGAGCAAGCUAGGCCCUGAGAAAAAAUGGAAUCAUGUUCUGAUUUUCCUCAUGACAACCUUGGUUUGCAACUGUAGAAAUGAGGCUUGUGCAUUAUAAACCAGCUCAGUCCUUCAGGCAGUGGACUAACUGGGAGAGGCUCCAGCAGGGGUCACCCAGGGAUAAGCUCAGGGUGGUGCUUUCCAAGAGCUGUGGGCUCUGGCCCUGGAAUGUGAGAAAGCACCUGAUCUUAGGAGAAAUAAUGCUGAGGGCCUGGCAGGACCCAGGCCCUGCCCUCAGGCUGCCACGCAGGGAUGCAGGGAGGGAAGGUGCCCAACACCCUGUGGGCUGAGCCAAGCAGAGAGCCCACAGCCAGGGUGAGGAGAAGACCAGGAGUCAGAACUGCGCCUGGCUCUCUGGGUGGCUAUGCUCAGUGCUGAGCUCACUAGUCCUGAUACAGAGACCCUGGUGUUGCCAAAGAGGAGGAUCAGCAAACAUCCCUAGAGACUAGUCUCACCCACAGUUUCAUCAUGCUUGGAAAUAAAAGGAGUACUACAUGCCAUGCAUAUACUAUAUAAAACACAAAUUGUAUUGAUAAAUCUGUAUAAAUAUGCAUCAGAAAUACAAAUAUUUGCAUACAUGUACAUGUUAGUUUGCUUAUUUUAAUGAUUUAUUGCUUUCAUGGAAUUGCUGUUUGCUUUUUUGUUUGUUUGUUUAUUUCACUUCUGGUGAUCCAGUCAGGACCCCUGCUUGGCAGGCAAUCUAGGGCUUACACUUCAAGGUUUGUUUUUGUUUUUUUUUUGAGCCUGUAUGUAAGUUGCCAGACUAGCCUCAGUUCUGCAGCUGUUCUUUCUCAGCCUCUUCAUUAGCUGGGAUUGCAGUGCUGUGGCACACUAGUCGGCCUCACCUUAGGUUGGCUACAGUGAGCUUGGACAUUUACCGCCAACACCUGUCCCACAACCGGUGGCUCCCUCUCCACUCCAGAGAACUGAGCACCAUGAAGCUCAAGGCCUGCCCCUGUGCUCCUGCUGCCUGGAACAGUGACCAUCCCAUUGCUCAGGACAAUGGGUGCCCUGAGGGGCUCUAGUUAUACAUAGAAGCAGGUGUCCCAGAGUUGAGUAAUGGUUCUGGGUCCCAAUGGGACAGAAGUUCUGUGCCCAGAGUUGGGCAAGGGCUGCUCCUCCCAACUUCCCUCUCCCACACAGGGCAGAGCAGCUGGCUCAGUGACUGCAUGGCCACAGGACAAAGCCAUCCAUAGCUGCUGAUCACCACACCUCUGACUGGACAGAGGACUGGACGGGUGUCUCUGGUAACUCCACAGCUCACAUGAUGCAGAGCUUCUGCUCUCAGUGGACCAUGUCAGCCACACAUGCAGCUUCAGAACAUCUGCUGCUCUUCUUCUUGUCUCUAAAGAUAAUAAUCACCAUCUUUGACUUUCCCAUGGGAAUCCAAUGAGUGCAGUCAGAGGGCAGGACAAGGGUAAGGAUGUGCAAGAGAACAAUACUGUGACCCAUAUGAAGACAGCCGUGUGAAAGUCUCGAUGACUGUGAGUUCCAAGCAGAAGGGAACAGAGCAGAGAAGUCCCAAGAAGGAAUGCAGGGGAGGAUCCCAGGACCAACAGACAAGAAAUGGGAGGGGACAGAUGGUGUGCUUUCAGAGCUAUCCCCAACCUACUCCCCUGAGAGGUCACUAGACUGCCAGCAGUCCCUGGUAGAAUCAGAAUCCUGGGAGAGAUUUGUUCCCUAGAGGUGACAGGAGGAAGUUCAUGUGCCUUGAAGGAAGUGUGGCUGCUGGUGGCCAGAGUGACCUGUGUCCCUGCCCCCCAGCCCCCCAGGCAGGCAGGGUGUGCAGAGGGCAGCAGGAUGCAGCAGGAGCUGGGCAGCCAGGCCAUCACAGGCCCCUCAGGGACUCAGGACACGAUUCCUAGGACAUGCUGGCCAUUCAUGGGCCCUCUCUUAUGGCUACAUGUGCAGAGACACCCUGAGAAUUUUACUCGUGGUGACCCGGUGAGAGUGCAAUGGUCUUUCCUGCACAUUUCAAACACAGUGUGGUGUUGUUUCCUGGCUUGUUUAGAUGUGACAACCACACAUGUUUUUUUUCACACUGUACAGGGCUGAGAUUACAUGAGGUGGUGGGGCAUAGUUUCCAGGGAGAUGUGAGAGCCAUGAGUCGGUACUCUGCCAUCAAGCCUGGAGUUGAAGGGCCACACGACCUGACCCUUUGCUGUCCCACACUCUCUGUAAGCAGCUGAGUGACUGUGGAGUCAGCAUACCUGGGUUCCCGGCCAUUCAGCUCAUCUUCUUCUCCACUGCACUUUUAUUGACCACUUCCAGUCAUUAUUUCUGGGGCAUGAGAAAAUAAAUAUUCUGAGAUGUGCUAAAUUAAUCACAAGGGAAGGAGCAGGGAGGGAGGGAGGAGCAGGAGACAUAGUAAAGUGACAGCUACAGGCCAAAGCCAACAAGACUGCUCCAUGUUUCUGACCCUGUGUGGAAAUCAGUUGGCCAAACACUAGGGCCGCUGAGUCUUGGUUACUGUGAAUUUCUUGACUGUGAACCCUCCCAACCCAUAAGAACAGUGCUCCUUGAUACUGCCUUCUUAUCCCAAGGGUGUUCUCUUUUUCUGUAAUCUUGCUCCUUGUGACCAUAGCCAGCAGAGGGGCAACAGAGAACACACUAGGCUUUUUCCCAAAAAACAUUCAUUGAAACAUUUCCUUGGCUUUAUGGUCAAGAGAGUGCAUCCCUAGCUGCUAUGGAGGCCCCACUGGCGUCUGCAGGAGCCAGCCCAGGAUCUGCUGCUGUCUAGGAUCUGCUGGCCAAUUUUUCAUUUUCUUGAGUAUUGCUAAUCCCUUUCACUUCAGAGAAACUGCAGUCUUCAGCAUUAGGUUUAAAAGGCAGUGACCACUGUCCAUCUCUCUGGAAUCCUCAGCACAUUGGGAGGAAUUUGAAGGACAGAGGUGAUUGUCACACAGGAGCUCUGGUCCUCUUGCUCUCAGUUCUGACUGGACAGAGGUAAAGUGAGCUCUGCAGAAUCAUGAGGUUAUAUGAUGCAGGCAGCUGAGAGAACCAGAUAUACCCAUUCACUAACCCCAUGGUCAGUAGGCCCAUGCCUCCAUGGUCAGACAAGGUGUGGAUCUGGGGCACCAGACAAUGACCUGUUUUUCAUAUCAUCUCGGCAGCCUGCCUGACCUGCCAAGGCAGAUCAUGACUAUAAUGUAGACUCUAACUAACUGUAUAAAGCAAGCACCAUUUGGAAAUCUGAAGUGGCUUCAGUUUUGCUAUAUGAAUCAAGACUGAUACUGUAACUCGGAUACUCAAUGUCCAUUGAUCAAAUUUAUUAUUUAAACCAGGAGAAACAUGGCCAAGUAUGUGCUAUUGCACCUGAAGAAGAGGGAGAGGGAGGCUGCAGAGGAGCUAUGCUGGUCCCUUCUACCAAAACCUCUCAGUGGCCUUCAGAGCCUGGCAGCCUCUGAGCAGUGCUCUCAGCAGAUGGAGGCACCAGGAGAAGAGGCUGGGGCAGCUCAGCCUCACACUUCUGCUCACUGGGAGGUUUUUGUUAUGGCCUCUAUCCUGUGGGAGGGAACUCAUUAUACUGUAAACAGUAAUAAGUGGCAAAACCUUCAGGCUCCAGGCUGCUGAUUGUGAGAGUGAAAUCUGUCCCAGAUCAUCUGCCACUGAACCUUGUGGAAACACCAGAUUGCGGACUGGAUGCAUCAUAAAUGAGACGCUUAGGAGCUUGACCUUGUUUUUGCUGGUACUAGUUUAAGUAAUUGCUAAUGCCCUGACUUGCCCUGCAUGUGAUGGUGACUCUUUUUCCUGGAGAUUUAGACAGGAAGAAUGGAGACUGAGUCAUUGUGAAGUCACAUCUGGCACCUGAAGUUAGACAUAUGAAAAGAAAUAUAUGCAAAAUUAAUAGUUUUAUAAGAGGAUUUCCCUGAAGAUCCCAUCAGCACUGAUCACACUGUGAUUAGUAAAUCCCCAGUGCUGUCCCCCCUUACCUGGGAGGCAGAGAAGCAGGAGCCCCAGGAGCUGAGCAGGGGCCCUCAUGGCCAUGCCUGACUGGGACUGACUCCUGCACAGGGCGUGAGGAGCCUCUUAAGAAGUCCUCAGGGCAGUGGGCUGUGCUGUGGGCACAUGCAAAUCAGCAGGGCUGGGCAGCCUGGGCACAGCUGCAGGGAGGCUCCUUUAGGUCUGAGUACUCAGCACAGAACCAUCAUCCCCCCCAUGUUCCAGGGCAACACAGAUACUCUGCUUGUCUCUCGGACCCAUGACAACCUCUGUCUAGUACCCCUGAGUAGCUUGUUAUCUUUAUCUCUUCCAAGUUUAGUGCUUGCUUUCUUCCAUCCAUGACAGGGGCUGUCCAUAAUGGCACAAUCCCAGAAACUGCAGGACAGUUUACCAGCUACUUUCCAUUGCACCUACACAGAGAAGCUUUCUCUUUGCUCUCAUUCCCCAAUACUCAUGAUUUGAAGUGGAGAGGCAAUAAGAAAACAUAGGGAGUCACAGUUUAUAAUGGAGGGUGUCAUCUACUUUUAUUCAAUUUCUACAGCUAAGAAAGUUGUCUUCCUCCAUUUAUGAAUGCUCUUCCCAACUACUUCCACCCAAAGCCAGGGAUUAUCUUCCUUCCCAUCUGAGGAGUAGGAGCUUCCUCUCUAGCUCAGCUCAAGAUGAUAUAUGUGCAUGACUUGUGUUCCCUGUCUGCUCAGAGUACUGCUCCUAUUCUCUCUCCUCUGAAAACCCAAAUCAUUGCCUUCAGAAGUAGAGAUCCUAUGUCCACCAAGUGGCACUGAUAUUCUGCUGUGUUCCCUAAACUGCAUAUUCCACAUCUCAAAUGUCAGUCAGCUCCUAAGAGAACUCGGUUUUCAGUGCCUGUUUUCGAACAGUGGGGACCAGGCAGGGUCUAAGGGAAGCAUGUGGGUGUGUGAAGCCUGCAUGGGGAAUUGUAGUCUCAGUGGGGCCCUGAGGGUGUCCCCACAUAUGAGGGGGGUGGUAGUGUUGUCCAGGUGUGGGUGUACAAGAGGGGUGAGACAAGGAGGACACUAGGAUAGGAGUCCCCUGCAUAGGAGACAGCCCAGGCAUGAUGAAAAUAACACCCAUGCAGGGAAACAGAUAUGAUGGUGGCCAAAGAAGGGUGUCAUAGUGGAGCACGUGGUGGGUAUGUUACAGAGUGGGUGCAAGAAGGGGUAGGUGAGGAUGACAGCUGGGGACUGGUUUUGAAUGGGGGGAGUCAUGAUUAUUUGGAUGUGAAGUGUUUCCCAAAAGCUCAUGUGUGAGACAAUGUAAAAAGGUUUUGAGGAGAAAUGACUAGGUUGUGAGGAUCUUAAGCCAAUCAGUGAAAUAAUCGUCUGUUGGGGUUAACUGAGUGGUAGGGAGUGGGUGGAGAAGGUGGGUCAUUGAGGGAGUGUCUUUAGGGUAUGUAUUUUAUAUCUGGCAAGUGGAGUCUCUCUCUCUCUCUCUCUCUCUCUCUCUCUCUCUCUCUCUCUCUCCUUGGUGAUCAUCAUGUGAGCUGCUUCCCUUUGCCAUACUCUCCUCCCAAGUUGUUCUGCCUCUCCUCAAGUCCCAAGGAAUGCGUCUGUUUGAGACCUCUGAAACCAUGAGCUCUUAGGUAAAAUCUUCCUCCCAUAAAAUUGUUCUGGUCAGAUCUUUGGUCACAGCAGCGAAAAAGGUGAUAAGACAGGAACUGAUCCAAAAUGCCAAUUCAUUUAUGAUAACUAGAUCCAAGAACUCAAUGUUGCAGAAUGGAGUUACUUACUUGAAAGGAGACUAAUUGAAUAAAACCUAUGACUUUAGACCAUAAUCAAAGAUAUCACUGUAUACUCACAAAUCCUAUAGAGUAAAAUAUGAACACUUUGCAGCAUUAGAUAUAUAUGUCUCUGUCUGUUAGUACAUACAUAAAUAGAUAAUUUCCCUAGUCUAGAAUAAAUAGUCUUUUAGUCUCAAAAACACCUGUGGUUUCUAAAUACCAUUAUUCUUUUGUAAAAAGAACCAUAUUUCCUUGAAGAAAUGUCUAUUACAGAAUCCACAAUAGGAAAAUGGAGAUGGAGCCUGGUCCAUAUGGGAAAUAAGGGUACACUAAAGGAACAAGGUGGUCAUAGCCUAUCAAAACAGAAACCAAUUUCAAUGGGACUCCAACUAGCUACACUGGAAAUAUUUGAGCAUCAAAAGAAUCAAUGAUGAAUAUAUGUUAUAAACCACUGAAUAAAAUACAAGCCUAUGAACUGAUACUUCUAUCUUAAUGAAGAAAGGGAUAUUCAUGAAGUAUCAAGGAUAUUGUCCACAAAUCUCUUCUAAUUGUGAAGGAGGAAGGUCAAUGUGGAGCAGAGAAUUCAGGGGACAUCACCUGAAUCAGGUUCAGAGCUUUGCCUCUGGACAUUCCUGUGUAGUAUAGGCUGAAAUGUUGGGGUUGUGACCCCAGUGACACAGGAUGUGACAGAUUGGAGACAGGGUGCUUGAAAGGAUAAUUAUAUAAAGGGAGUCUUCUGUCUGGUUUAAUUCAAUGUGCCUGGUGGCCUCAUAGAAAGAGGAACUUAGAUCUCAGAUACACCUGGUAAAGACCAUGUGACACACAGAAGGAUGACCCCCUGGAACUCAGAGAGGCCUCCGAGGAGAACAGCCUGCUGAUGACUUCUUCUCUACCUAUGGAUCCCACAACUGCUAGACAAUACACUUUUGCUGUUCAAACCCCGGUCAGUGGUCCUUUCUCAUAUCAGCACAGCAGGUACACUUCCACAGAUUGACUCGUGAAAUGUAAUCAAGAGGGACAGCAACUCCUACAGGGGACAUUCUAUAAGGCAAUUGCUGUGUCCUCUUCAAAAGUGACAAGGUCCUGAUGUUCAGGGGAACACUGCAAGUGUUUCUGACUGAAAGAGUCUAGAGACCUGCCACUGAGGACUGCAUGUGACCUGGGACAGCAGCACAUCCUGACCAAGGGCAGAUAGGAACAGCUGAUGGGAUUUGAAGUGGACUUGAUAACUGGAUGCACAACAUGCUAAGGCUGAUCUCUCGAUUCCUUGUGGUGUUGUCUUGUGUAGGAGGACAUCAUCGGGAGGAGGCACAUAGUAAAAUAUGGUGGGCCAUCAGGUCUAAGCUGACUCACAAAGGUUUCAGUGGGAAAGAAGAACUUUGUGCUGUUCAUAAAUGUCUGUAAGUUUGAAGUUUCCUCUAAAAUUUUCAAAGAUGAAACAUUUAUUCCUGAAAAAGACAAAGGUUUUUCUUUUCACUUUAAAAUAACCCUGACCAGUUCUUAUUGACAUCUGCUAUUGUCUGUUCCCAAGAGAUGGAGCUGGAGUCUUGGUCCCCAAACUGGUGAUAUUAGGAGGUGGUAGAACUUUUAGAAUCUGGACCUACUGGAAGGUCCCUAGAUCAGUGGGAGCACUGCACUCAGAAUGAGUGAAGGCCCUACUCAUGUGACCACAGCAAGUUCCCAGGAGUAUGGCUUAUGCAGGCCAGCCUGCCCACUCCAUGAACCAUCUGGCCACUGGACCAACACAGAGAAAUUCUCUCUGACAGGUGAAAUAUCAGCCCCAUAUUUCAUCUUGGAAUAAGAUUAGAGUGAGUGUCCCCCAAAACUAUAAUUCUGCCAAACAGAAAUUGAGAGCUUUGGAAAGGAAAUGCAGUGGCUUGGAACAAGAGAGUACAUGUUCACUCUCCCUCCUCUAACUGGGACUCUGAUUUGAAGAACACACAAGGAGAUAUCAGCAUUUAAGGAGUUCUGAGUACAGAUCAGGGAACACAAUGAAAAUCAUUCACUCUCCCCCUUUGUCUGGAAAAAUCUCAUGUUUUAAGAAAAAAACAAAGAGGAAAGAUUAAGGAACAACAGAGUGAUCCCCACCAAAAAUAAAUAUUACACAUAGUAAAAGAUGUUCUGCUAAAAGUGGGUCCAAUUUGUCCUCCUAGAUGGUGACAUAGCACAGAUUCUGGGCACUGGCCUGUGGGUUGUAUGGACUCAUGAAGCAGGAGCAGGAUGGAGUGAAAGACAAUGUCCUUAAAAAAUAGAUGGGUCAAGGGACAAAGGCCUAUUAAUGAUGUUGCAUGUGACUUUGUUUCCCAGGAAGCACAGGAGUUCAACUGCACUGGAUUUUCCUCUCUUCCUCUGAGUCUGUCCAUGCUGAAGGAUAGGACCUGGACACUCAGUGCCCCACUUGCCCUGAGUGAGGUCAGUGCUCCAGGGCAGGGUGUCAAAGUAGCAGUGUAACAGUAGAGUAAAAAUGUUAUUUCCCAUUUUAUUGCCUGCCCAUGACAUUAAAAUAAAACUUCCAUGAGACCAGGGUUUCUGCCUGAUGUGUUCAAGUCCCUGGAUCCAGCACUGGUCAGGAGGCUGUGGGUGCACAACAUUAUAAACAGUUUUCAUCUUGGGUAGGGAUAAGUGAAGACCCAUCCUACCAGAGGUUGGAACCUGAAGUUGUCACCUGUUACCCCAGGAGGAGCCAUUGGCACCUUAGAUCUGUCAGUGACAGAGGGACAGCAGAGGACACAGGAUACCUUUGAGAAGCCGGGUGACCUAAAGAGCAGUGACAAGGGUGAUCCUCACUCAGGUGGUGUCUCCUGUUUUGAGAAGUGUCUUUGCUGAGGGAAGCACCAGAGGCCUGGGUGGAUGUGUCCCGGUGCCUUCUAGUGGCCAAAGAGGAACUUGAAGUAUCUAUUUGAAGUCCAGAAGAGAUCUGGGACUGAGACAGAGGUUGUGUUCUCUGACCUCAUUCAGUCCAGUGACAGGAGCAUAUUCCAUGCACUGACACCACAUGUAAAUGUUUCAAUAACGUUUGGAAGUUUGUGCUCACCUACACUGAGAGUGUGAUGUAAAAUGACUCAUUUCUCCCAACUGCAGCGGAGUUGAAAGCAGACAGUUGAUGAGAACAUGUCAUUGGGAAGGUUGAUGAAAACUGCAGCUGCACCUGGAUUUCUGGUUGUUUCCCUGGCACACCAUCCUUCUCCUUUGGCUCUGGCCCUAUUAUGUCCUCUCUGACACCUGUCCUCUGUCCUCUCCACACAUGGACUUUGCUUUGACACUUUGGUGUUUGGCAGGGCCCCAGGGGCUCAAGGCCAGCUGCUCAGAGCUCUGUAAAUACAAUUUCCCUGGAGAUGGGGACUGAGCACAGAUGGUGAGCACCAGAAAGACAGUGACACAACCCAGAUCCUCCUCUGUAUGCUGCUCUGGGACUCAUCUGAGAGGUUCAUACAAGUGUGAUUCUUACAAAAGUACACAGUGACAGCAACGUGCACAAAGAAAAUCAUAUAAACCAACCCGAUUCUUUGUUAAGAAUCAGAAAAUCUACAUUUGAGAAAUAUUUAAAUACACUGGUAGUGGGUGUGUGGUCCUUGUAUGUUCUUGAUUGCAGGGACCUGUGGGGACCUUAUGAUUAUCAGUCUCCAGGCUCCCUGGCUGUGUCUGCCUGAGAGGGGGUCACCAUCAGCAGCAAGUCCAGCCAGUAUGUUUAUUUUUAAUAUUUAUUUUUAGUUAUAGGUGGACACAUGUCUUUAUUUUAUUUUAUGGGGUGCUGAGGAUCAAACUCAGUGCCUCAUGCAUACUAGGUGAGCACUCACCUCUGAGCCACAAGCCCAGCCCCUCCAGCCAGCAUUCUGUCCAACCAGAAGGAAGCCUUGGAUUAGGAAGAGCAGAGACCUGACCCUAACUGCUGACACCCACCCAAGGCCCUGGGGCCCCAUGGAGGUUCAGUGACAGAUUUCACUGUCACCAGCAGCAGCCCAGGCUGAGGACCUGGAAGUUUCCUGCUGUCCCCUGUGCUCUCUGCUCCUGCGACACUGCUUUGGCCUCCCAUACAUGUCCCCUCUAGGUCAGUGAAUCUAGGCUGCACACACUGAUUCCUUCCUGCUCAGCCCUGUUUCUCGUCAUUAUAUCAAAGCCUCAUCUCCAGCACGGUUGUGGGAGAAUGUGCAACUCUGGGGAAGAUUGAGUAGAGCAGCCACCCUGAUUGUGGAGCACCAGAAAGCCUUGACCUGCAUCUCUGUGGGGACUGUCGGGAACUUGCUCUUAGAUGUCCAGAACAUCUGCCUCCCUGACAUCUCUAUACAGUUGGAUUCACAUUUCUGGUCAAAGUGAGGCUCCCACUGCAUCUUGUGGCCCAGGGCCAAGGUGCUCAGGCCAUGACAGAGCAAUUCCUCUCCUGUGCCUGAUGACGCUGCCCUUAACAUUUUGCUCUUGGUGAUGUCACCUUGCCCCAUGGCUCCGUCACCCAAGAGCUUCCCAGGCUCAAUAUGUAGGGCCUUAUUUUCCAGCUGUCUCCACCAGACUUAGUCAUCCUCUCUAACCACCCCUGCCCAGCAGCCCCUCCAAUCAGCCGUUUCUGGUCUGAGUUUUGCAUUUGCUCUGUGCUCUGUUUCAGAAUUGGACUUUUCUGCCUUUCUAUUCCUCUAGGUCACAAGUAUUCUUAUGUCCCACUUUCUCUGUGAAGGCCUUCUCAGUGGGUGUAGCCUGAGGUGCUCUCUGUCACUGCCCUCAGCCUGCUCUGUUAACUGUGUCCACAAUUGCCUCAUGCCUGUGACUUGUCUGUCAGUCAUGGGUCACAUCCAGACUUGAAUUUCAAGCCCUGUGAUUAGUUUUCCACCCUUAUCUUGCCUGGUCUUACCUUACUAGUUUCUAGGACACAUAAUAAGGAAAUUUGGUUAUGGUCUCCUAUGUGUGCUGCACUGUUCUAAGUAAUUAACUGUGUUAAAAAUAUCGGUAGACAGAGCCAGAUAUGUGGUGCAUGCCUGUAAUCCCAGUUACUGGGAGACUGGGGCAGGAAGAUGGUAGGUUCAAGGCCAGCCUCAGCAACUUUAAGAGGCUCUAAGAAAAUUAACAAGAUGCUGCCUUAAAAUAAAAAAAAAAAAUAAAAAGGGCUGGCAUGUGGCUCAUAUAUAUGUAUAUGUUUAUGGAAAUGUGGUGAAUGCUUUCUUCAAAUGCUAAUUUGCUGACUCAUGUUCAUACAACAGAAGAAUCACUUGGGGUGCUGUUAAAAUGUAAAUGCUCUAUUCUAAGUUGGAGAAUUCUGAUCUAUCAGGCAAUUUUGUACAUGGAGAAUACAUAUUGCUCACAAGACUCUCCUGAUUCUGAACUUCAGCCCAUCCUGAAACACUCUGGUUCCUAAUAAAUAAUUUUGAUUUGAAAAAUCUAUGGUAUUUUCUGAGAUAAAUACAGAAAAGGAAGAGGAAGUUUGAAAAAUCAGUGAGGUCCCUUCUUCAUCCCCCAGUAGCUCUUUUUAUGUUCUACAGCUGGAAUGAGAGACUGUCUUGGUUUUUUAGGAGAGACUCUCUUGGAUUUUGGGGUAGUUUGUCCACUCUAACAAAGAACCACCAGUGACCAUGGCUGCAGUCCCUCGGCAGCUCACCAGCAGUUGGUUGUUGUCAUGUUCCUGUCCUUCUACACCCAUGGCCAAGGUCUUCUUUGCAGCACACUCAGGCAGUUCACUCUUAUAUGCGUCCCAGGGUUAGAGUUGCAAUAUGAGGUACAGUAAGCUGUACAGUUACUGCAUCUUUGCUGCUACUAGAAAUAUAAUUGUGGCUUUCCACCCUCCCAUGGCCAAUCUCUCUCCUCUUAAGGUCAUGUACUGGAGAUGCAUAUGGUAGUGGUGAACAACCUUCAAGAAUUACUAAAACUUUAGUCUUGCAGGUGAGAGAUGAUACAGGCUGGAUAUAGGUCAGGUUUAGAAAAAAAGAUCAAUAAGAGGUUUUCUGUACAGAAAGUCAAAAGAAAACAGGAGAAAAUUAAGUAAUAAAGGCCUGUUUAUUAAAUUUUCUCAUUGGCAUCAUUUCUAUUGGGAAAAUUACUCUGGUUUUCGAAGAUAAAGAGGCUCUGAUUAUCCUGGACCCAUUAAUGGGUUUUAUGUCAAUGUCCCAGGAGGGAUUAGUUAUGAGCAUAAAAAUUGAAACAAACUCUCUAUUCCUUCUUGAAAUUUUGUAGUAAAUUGAGCAACAUGGAGAAAAACUGAUUAUUUUAUAUUAACUUUUGACUCUACAGUUAAAAGUUAUAUGGAAGGUUAAUUAUCACAGCUGCUUCUCUCUUGCUUGGCCCCUGUUGGAGACACAGCACCUGGGCCUAUCCAGGUUCUAGAUUGCUUGAGUGACAGCCUGAGUAGAGAGUGCCGAGUAACAUCCUACAAAAUUUUUCAAGCUGAGGAUAAUGAAGACCCAGGGAAGAAAUUGUGACAUAAUGAAAGAAGCCAGGGGACAUGACACACAAAUGAUGCUACUAGUUGUUUGUCCAAGGAGUGUUUUCCUCAAAUUCUCUUACACUGCAUAAAAAAGGAUUCUAUUAUGAACCAAAAUUAUUGAUCUUCCAUGGUACCCUGGGUCACUGAAAUGGAUCACAGACACAAACAUUUCCUGCAUAAGUUAAGAUGGGAUAUAUAGAGUCUCAGGCAUUCAGUUGUCAUCAAAAAUGAGGCAAAACCAGAAUACAGUCAUUUGUCUACAUCCCAUAAAAAGUAAAAGUUGCACCAGUGCUAAAGAUAUUCCCAGACCCUGGAGAUAAAUUCUGAGGGGAGUCAGAGAUUUGUGUCUCCUGGAACGAGCUUGAGAAGGUAAAUUGCAUGAGGAGUAGCACAGUAACAUCAGGGCAUCUGUCUUCCAACAGAGGGACUGGCUUUGUGUUUGGGACUGUGACUCUGGGGGGAUUGGGGUGGCUUCACAGAGAGCAGAAAGCACUUCCCAGCCUUCCCACUGUUGGAAGUAUAGAUGGUGUAAGGACAUCUGAUCCUCUGCUCAGAACUGAGUUGGGCUGCAGAGCAGGAGACUGAUUGACAGAACCCCUAGAUUCAGACCUGCCUGAUGUGAGCACUGGGAUAGAGUGACUAGUCACCAGCUCCUUUGUUGUCCUUAGAGUUGAUGAUGACCUUCUCACUUUAGAGACCCACCCAAGUUAUGAUCACUGAGUAGCAACAGAAUAUCAUAGAAUUUUAAAAAUAUCUUUGAAAGUGUAUCUAGCUAUAGGUUCAGAUGUAGAUCAGUGAUAGAAUAUUUGCAUAGCAUGCAAGAGGUUCUGGUUUCAAUUGCCCCAAAACCACAAAAAACAAAAAACAAAAGAAACAAAAAAACCACAUAUAUACAUAUAUCAACAUAAACAAAAACAUAUAUAACAAUAAGUCUAUUAAUUUUUAUUUUAUAUCUAAAAAAUGUCCAUUUUUCACAAAUUAAAAUAUCUUUGAAUUCUCUGAAGGCCAUGACUAUAAUUGAUUCCUUCAAUAAAUGACUCUCACUAUAUUCUUUUAACUUUUUCAAAAAAUAUUUUAGAACAGGUAUUUCAUUUCCUGCCUAGUCCAACAUCACCCACUCACUUAACCAUACCAGUGUACUCAGGUCAGCAUGACUUGCUGGAAGAGAACUUGGGGUCUCUCAGCUCUGACCUUCAGUGACAAGUUAAGUGACCUACCUGGAAGCUGAGUACUGACUGUUCCCUGCUCAGAGUAAGACCCAGCAUGAUGACCCUUCUGCCUCUGGGGCCUCUGGGGACACAGGUCGUUUGGACUGAGCAGACUGAGACCCUGCCUGACCCACACCAGGGAGUAUAUUUAAAUCCCUAGGCAGCAGGUACAUUCCAGGCUCAUGUCACACCUUCUUUCUAGUUUCUGGUGACACUCACAGACCUGCUAAAGAGCAAUCCCCUCAGUGGGGACAACUUCCUGUGUCCUUCUGCACCAUGCCAUCCCUUGCUUAUACAAAAUCCACCUGCAUUCUCUUUUUUUUUUUUAAAUACUGAAUUUUUAUUUUUUUUUUAUUUNAAUCCACAAAGCUACAACUAUCUUAUAUUUGAUAAAGGAGCUAAAAGCAUGCAAUGGAGGGAGGAUAGCAUCUUCAACAAAUGGUGCUGGGAAAACUGGAAAUCCAUAUGCAACAAAAUGAAACUGAAUCCCCUCCUCUCGCCAUGCACAAAAGUUAACUCAAAGUGGAUCAAGGAGCUAGAUAUCAAAUCAGAGACUCUGCGUCUGAUAGAAGAAAAAGUUGGCUCCGAUCUACAUAUUGUAGGGUCGGGCUCCAAAUUCCUUAAUAGGACACCCAUAGCACAAAAGUUGAUAACAAAAAUCAACAAAUGGGACUUACUUAAACUGAAAAGUUUUCUCUCAGCAAGAGAAACAAUAAAAGAGGUAAAUAGGGAGCCUACAUCAUGGGAACAAAUUUUUACUCCUCACACUUCAGAUAGAGCCCUAAUAUCCAGAGUAUACAAAGAACUCAAAAAAGUAAACAAUAAGAAAACAAAUAACCCAAUCAACAAAUGGGCCAAAGACCUGAACAGACACUUCUCAGAGGAGGACAUACAAUCAAUCAACAAGUACAUGAAAAAAUGCUCACCAUCUCUAGCAGUCAGAGAAAUGCAAAUCAAAACCACCCUAAGAUACCAUCUCACUCCAGUAAGAUUGGCAGCCAUUAUGAAGUCAAACAACAACAAGUGCUGGAGAGGAUGUGGGGAAAAGGGUACUCUUGUACAUUGCUGGUGGGACUGCAAACUGGUGCGGCCAAUCUGGAAAACAGUAUGGAGACUCCUGGGAAAGCUGGGAAUGGAACCACCAUUUGACCCAGCUAUUGCCCUUCUUGGACUUUUCCCUGAAGACCUUAAAAGAGCGUACUACAGGGAUACUGCUACAUCGAUGUUCAUAGCAGCACAAUUCACAAUUGCUAGACUGUGGAACCAACCCAGAUGCCCUUCAAUAGAUGAAUGGAUAAAAAAAAUGUGGCAUUUAUACACCAUGGAGUAUUACGCAGCACUAAAAAAUGACANAGAGCAACAACAGCCCAAGCCAUUUUCUUUGGUUCACAAGUUGCAUCAUUUGGGAAUCCAGGCUGUCUGGAGCAUCUGAAAGGCAACAUUCUGGGACCUGCGAGGAGCAGCCUGCAGGUCAGCUCUCAGAGAUGGGGACAGGGGCUCUCCUGCAUAGGUAUUGCUGCUCUAGGAUCCAGUUGAGGGGUGCAGAGGACCACGGGCCACUCUCGCUAGCCAUGAUGACUCUCAGUAUCUCUAGGUUCUUUGUCACUGAUAAAGUUUGUUAUGGGCAUCAUGAUUAGCUGUCACAUAUUUCUUUCUGGUUACUCAGAGCAAUACCUAUAAUGGAGGUUACACUUCCAGUGAGCAGAAGGGCUGACCCUAUGUGAGUGUUGCUGUUAGGCCUGCUUUACAAUGUCGAGUCCCACUGAGUGUCCCACCCACAGAAGUUCUGUGCAGCACCCCCAGGCUCCUCACUAGGGUUGGGAGUCAUGACUCAGCCCCCGACCCACUGCCACUGACCUGGCAACCAGGGACGUGAGCAAGGAAGCUUCAUGUGAAAGGAUAUUUACUUUGGCCAAAGUGACCAUGAUACUCAUAAUUUAGGAAUGUCUUCAAUCCCUUGAACUAGGAUAUGCCCAGAAAAUACAUUCCUAAGAUGUUCCAAAACAACCCAUUAACUUGACCAAGGGAGACACUACCAUAGUUUGGGAAAUUUACUCACGUCCUUCUACCCUCACCCACUCUAUUGUCCACAGUGAGCUGAAGGGUUAGGUUGCAAAGCACAGGUGGAUCCUGUUUGAGCUAGGGCCAUGCAAACCCUCUCUGAGGCCUGGGGGACACAUGACCAUGGAAGUUUCAAGUGUCUCUAGAGAGCAAAACUGGCCUCCAGAGAAACAGCUGAUCCUCAGGUGGGUAAGGGCCACUUCAGAUCUGCAUUUGCUUCUGCAUGAUGACUGUGACAGAGCAGGUCCUUAAGCCAAUCCCAAGCAAGGUCCUCCUGUGUGAGCCUGAGUGUUCACAGUGGGGUGGAUACACUAGGAAGGGAAGGGACUUUCCUCCUGAGGACAGGGGUGGAGCACGGAAAUCCAGGGGGAGGGAGGGAUGGAGGGUAUGUAUGCACAUUAGUGUUGGUUUUGAGUGGGUUGUGAUUGAAUGUGGUUUCCAUGGUAUUAGGUCCUACUUCAUGAAGGUUUUGUAAACACCUUAUAUGGGAAAAGUGCCUUUGCAAGUGGAAAUUAUGGCUAUUUAAAUAUUAGAGAUUAUCCGGUUUUAACCAAGCAUGACCCAAAUGCAGGCCCAAUGUCCUCAUAAAAAUCAGGUAAAAAUGUAAAGAGACACUUAACAUAGAUGGAAGGAUGAAAAUCAAGGGUGAUAAAGGAUGAGACAGAGUCAUGGGAUGUAGCCACCAGAGCUAGAGAUGGAGGAACAGACUGUCCCCUGUCACCUCUACACCUGGUGAUGGCCACUGGGACUCUGGCCUGCAGCACUGUGGAGCAUGGUAGUAAUGCUGCUUGUAACCACCAAUCUCUGGUAAGUGUUUACAGCAGAUGUUGGGAACUUACACCCAUGGGGCCCAGGUAACAACAGACUAUGGCUGCGGUUGUCCUCAUCAACAUCCUAAUGCUCCACAGGAAUGGACACUGGAAGUUCCUCUGGUAGGAAAUACAGCACAUGGAACCCCACAGUGCAGAGAGGCUCCUCUUUAUGUAGAAUCAACAGUGGUGGUGGCCAGUUGAAGAAGGAUGUCCCACAUCUCACUACUGGGACAUAACACAGUGUCUUCAUUUUGAUAUAUUCAGGGGGACUUAAUGCAGACUCUGUGACUGUGUGUUUACAGCAUCAUAUUUCAACGUGAGUCAUUUGGUUUAUCCCAAGAACCCCUCUGAUAUUUUUGCUGUGGAUUCCACAGAGGAGGGAAUCAGUCAUCCCAGCAGAGUGGGGUCAACAAUGUCAUGUGGACUGUGAGGGCUGGGGCUGGCUCUGAACCCAGGUCUGUCUGACUUUAGAUGUAUUUAUUUCAUGUGGCCACAGUCUUCCCAAAGGUACAGCAUGGCCUGUGAGGUGGGAGGAGAGGAUCCAAACUGAAGGCAGGGAAUCUCAGCUCCUGCUGCCUCUGCCCACUCCGUGCUGAUCUGACCUGAAACUCAGGCCUCUGCAGGUUCUUUUGCAAAACACAGCCCUGCAGCCCUCCCUGCCCUACCUGCCAUCAUUCCAGAUGUGGAGGGGGGUGUGCCUUGCACUGCCCUGACCCUCCUUCCUGCUCCCUGCCCCCAUUGCUGACCUAGUCUUCCCAUCUCACUCUCCCCUGCUAAUCUAAUCCAUACCCCUGACAUGGAGACCAGUGAUCAGAGAGCAAGCAAAACCCUCCUCUCUCCUUGGGUGCUGUGAGCAGACCCCAUGUGGGGGAGAUUUAUCUAGGUAUUUCUACCUCAGAAGAGCUCUGGAAAGAUCCAUUCUUAGGGUAAAAGUUUUUCUGCCUCAUGUCAAAGUAGAAACCAAAUGAUAGUAAUGUGACAAUGUUUGGUGGGGCAGUGCAUGGCCACUGUCAGGGGAUCUCUGUCCCUUCCAUUGCAUCAGUCCCUACUGCUGCCCCCACAGACCAUGAUCACCUCCUGGGCUUAGAGCAGCCCAGGCUGGUUAUCUCAGGGUCCUGGAGCUCAGAUUCCCAGUGAGUGGAAACAAGGGAAGGAGGGUUGGGUGCCUUCUGCAGGCUCCUGAGGACAGAAUCCAUUUCCAGGCUUUCCAGCUCCCAGGUUCUCUCACUUCCUUCUCCUGGCCCCUUCCUCCAUCUCUCAAGACCUCUCACCAUUGUCCCAUCCCCUGACUGUGACCAUCCUUCCUUCCCAUUCUAAGGACCCUUGAGAUUUUACUGGUCUCCUGCAGAAUACUCAGGAAAAUCUCCAGGUCGUGAAUCUUUACUGUAAUCCCAACUCCCUUUGUUGAUGUAAGGUAAUAUUCCUAGAAUCUCAGGAUCAGAACAUGGGUGUUUAUUGAUUUCCUAUAGAAUGUCUCAGUGGAGGCAAUUCCUUGACAUUUGGAAGUCAUAAAAGUGCAUCAUUCAUUGUCUCCUGCAGGUGACACAUGGAGGCAGGGGAAGAGGAGAAUCACCUGGUGAGUACUACAGUCCAUGGGCAGCUUCAGAACACAACCUCAGGCCUUCUGCCCAGCUCUGAGGACCCCAGGGUUGGGCACUCUUUAAUUUCAGUAGAAUAUUCUCUCUGGAUUCUGGGUGAGCAGCAGGGAUCCCUGUUUCUUGUGUCAGCUUCUCUGACUUCCAGACCCCAGGGCAUUACAGGGCGGAUUAGAGGUCUGUUUUUAUCACCUAGAAAAUUCUCACUUGGGACACCAUUAGGGGCUUGUGUUUUGAUAUAUGAAUCCAAUGGAAACCAUAACCAAAUUCCCUGUGUCUAACAAAUGCUUUCAUUGAUUUUAGGGGAGCAUAGUCAUGUCUUUUUCCCAUGGGCUGAGGAGGAGCAAAGAGUAGGGCUACAGAGAACCCUCUUUGGCUCUUUCUAUCAACACCCCCCAGUGACACUCAGAGCCUGGUCCCUCUGGGCAGUGCUCUGAACAGGUUGAGGCAGCAGGAGGAGCAGCUGGGGCAGCCCAGCCUCACACUUCUGCUCCCUGGGAGGUUAUAGUCAUGACCUGUAUCACUGUGGGAGGGAGCUUAUCAUAUUGUAGACAGUAAUAAUUGACAACAUCUUCAGGCUCCAGGCUGCUGAUGGUAAGAGUGAAAUCUGUCCCAGAUCCACUGCCACUGAACCUCGAGGGUACCCUAGAUUGAAAAGUGUUUGAAGCAUAGAUGAGGAGCUUUGGAGCUUGCUCUGGUUUCUGUUAGUACCAGGCUAAACCUAUGCCAAUGCUCUGACUGGUUCUGCAGGUGAUGGUGACUCUGUCUCCU